UGGGCAUGGCCAAGGUAGAAGUCACCCAGGUGCUGGGCCCCUGUAUAUGUCAUAAUCCGACCUGUCAGCCAGGACCAGGUAGAAAGUCAAAUAACCUAGGCCCUGCAACAUUGCACCCAGGAAUGGAUUACUGUCUAUCCUACUUCCCCAAAAGAGAAUUAACAGCAUAGAAAUUAUGCCUAAAAGCCAGGUAUUUAUAUACCAGGUGCUCGCUAUAGAAGACUCAGUAUACUUGGCAAGAAGGAAAUUAAUGAAAGUCAAAAAUUAGCUACAUCUAGAGAUUUCACUAUCAGCAAAAUUAUAUGACCACAUAUUAGUAUUAUGAGCAAGCAUCCUCAGACCCAACUGUGAGCAUGAGCACAGUAAUUUUAGUCCCAAGAUUUCUGUUGAAUGCCUCCAUUUCAGGCUUUCGAGCAACCAAUGUAUGCAAUAGAGGAGGAAAGUAGGUGACAAAGAGAGAGUGAGCAGAGGCAACUCUCACGGCUGUGAUUAGAAAACAGCAUUUAUGACAGGAGUCAGCUGGUUCCCAACUCAUUUCCUUCAUUCAUCAUCUGAAGGCCCAAGACGGUCUGCCAAACCAGAAUAUGUUCACAGAAUCAGACCACAGCUGAGAAGUCAGUGGAAUUGUCUUCUAUAUUUUUGUUUCUACCUUGGGCAUACUUGAGCCUUGGAGAUGGAGGCUGCAGUAAGCAGACAUCCCGCA
rnacentral:lncRNA from 1 species